UUUCCGUAGGUGAACCUGCGGAAGGAUCAUUAUUGUAUAACCGAGGUGCGAGGGCUGUCGCUGACUCGAAAGGUCGUGCACGCCCGAGUGCCCUCACUCACCUCCUUCUCACCCCUAUGUGCACCACCGCGUGGGUCCCAAUUCGGCUUGUUCGGUGGGGGGCUUACGUUUUCACACAAACUUUGUAAGCAGUGUAGAAUGUAUUUUUUGUUUUUGCGAUCACGCAAUCAAUACAACUUUCAACAACGGAUCUCUUGGCUCUC
rnacentral:misc_RNA from 1 species